rnacentral:rRNA from 1 species
UACGUAGGUGGCAAGCGUUGUCCGGAUUUACUGGGCGUAAAGAGCGCGCAGGCGGUCGAUCAAGUCGCGUGUGAAAGCCCCGGCUCAACUGGGGAGGGUCACGCGAUACUGAUCGACUCGAAGGCAGGAGAGGGUAGUGGAAUUCCCGGUGUAGUGGUGAAAUGCGUAGAUAUCGGGAGGAACACCAGUGGCGAAGGCGACUACCUGGCCUGUUCUUGACGCUGAGGCGCGAAAGCUAGGGGAGCAAACGGG